rnacentral:rRNA from 1 species
AUUGAACGCUGGCGGCAGGCCUAACACAUGCAAGUCGAACGAGUGGCGGACGGGUGAGUAAUGUCUGGGAAACUGCCUGAUGGAGGGGGAUAACUACUGGAAACGGUAGCUAAUACCGCAUACCAUCGGAUGUGCCCAGAUGGGAUUAGCUAGUAGGUGGGGUAAGGGCUCACCUAGGCGACGAUCCCUAGCUGGUCUGAGAGUAUGACCAGCCACAUUGGAACUGAGACACGGUCCAGCCUCCGACGUGAGGAAGAGGUGGGGAAUAUUGCACAAUGGGCGCAAGCCUGAUGCAGCCAUGCCGCGUGUAUGAAGAAGGCCUUCGGGUUGUAAAGUACUUUCAGCGGGGAGGCGUUACCCGCAGAAGAAGCACCGGCUAACUCCGUGCCAGCAGCCGCGGUAAUUC